UCCAAUACAUUGCUUCAUUAUAAGUGGACAUUGGAAUGUAGCCAGAGAAUUGCACAAAUGAAACUGGGACCUAAUACAUACACACACGCACGCCGCAGGCAGGCACGUACACACACAGGGAGGAAUACUUACAGGGCGCACUUCCUGACAAGAGUUGGUGAAUUGCCGGGCCAGACCAAAGUCAAGCAUGUAGCAGCAUCGGCACGUGCUGGCCAGGCGUCCCAUGGCAAAGUUUGACUGGAGCGGUAAAAAACGCAGGAAGCCCACAGAGUGGAUGCUCUCGAUGGCCUCCAGCAUCUGCCUGCCCAGCCUCAGAGUGGUGGAGAUGGUGAAGGUGCCACGAGACAUAGUUCUGCGCAGGUCUGCCAGAUUCCUCCCCUAUAGGACACAGUAAAGCAAUGUUUGUGGGAUGGGGUAUGGGACAUUGUCAUGGUCACCCAAGGCUGAGCUACUCAAUCAUGCAUUUACACACAUUUUUUAAUACGUUAUUUGAAUCCACAAAUCACAUUACAAUCAAAAGGUUUCAAACAUUCCAAAGAGCGGGCAUGCACACACUGUACAGCCUACCUGAAGCUCCAUCACCACAUAGUUGAAGCGGUCAUUACGACCACAGCCCACAAAGCGACACACGUGAUCUUUCCCUGAAACAGAGAAACAUAAAUGUAGCUUACGACACACCAGAUAUGUACAGUAUCUGGCUAAAUGAUUCAUGUAAAUAUGCAAUCAAUAUUUUCCAUAAAGGUUAGAUGCAGGUUUUUAAGUGAAUUUCCUAGUUAUGGACAUUUCAGUGUUUUACUAACGAUGUCCAUUUUAGACGUAUUCCUAUCUCUCACCCUGGAGCUUCUUCAGCACAGCCACUUCCAUCUUCAGCACCUGUUUGGGCUGCUGUGCAGACUCCACCUUCAGGGCCACGUUGACCUGGCUCAGUUGAUCCAGUACCUCGUAGAUCUCCCCGAAGCCUCCCCCGCCAAUCUUCUUCACCUGCAAAUGGAAUGGAGGAGAAGGUAGAAUUCAGGUCUGUCACUGACAGGAUGUCUGCCGCCUGCUCUACAACGCAACUCAUCUCGAGUGCUCCCAACGAAGGUCUGAACCUGGCAUUAGUGUCACUGGCUUCUUACUGCAGUAAGGGAGAAAGGACAGAGACAAUUAGAUCUUUUAUCUGACAAAUCAUGCAAAAGUAUUGGGGACCUUGGCUACCUCCACCUACAUGUGUCCUCAGAGAGAUGUCAUAAUUUGCGUGCUGUCACUGUCAUUUCAUUUUCUUUACCAAUAAACUAAUGUAAAGGAUGUA